ACCGCCGAAGAGAGGGGAUCCGCGUCGGCGCCGACGACUUCAACCGCCCCCAGAACCGCAAACCACACCGCCGCCUAAAACGCUACGCCCUCCGCCGCCUAAAACGCUACGGAGGUUAGAGCGGUCCGCCACCGCGCGCGCCUCUCCCGGUAGAGUUCCCCGAGCCACGAUAAACGCUACUCAUUGGUCCCUGUUCGGGCGCCAAAUGAGGGGAAACCUGGGGAAACCCCCUAAGUUUCCCACAGGAAACCCUACGGCGCGGGAAGCUCCACACUCAAUGUGAGUUUACGGCUUCUACUUUAUUGUGACAACACACCAUCUUAUAUAGCAUAUAUGCUUCCAGGGAUACAGGGUCCAGGGAUACAAGCUCUAUGCGACGCACACGCUAACAAAUCGUUGCCCGAGUAAUCACCAUAUAUGGGAUAUGUUGUUAACUACAAUACUAUGGAUACAGAAUACUAUGGAUAUGCUGAAAUAUACUAGAGCACACUGGAAACACCACAUUCCACGUAUCUAGGGAUUACAUCAUUACAUCAUAAAUCAUUAGUAAAUCAGUAACUACGUGCUGCCGAGCACUGCCAAGCAAGCUGUUUCCCAACAGCAGUGAAGGUGCAUUUUUAGAUGAACAAGAAGUGUAUCCAGAAGAUUCCAAAUCCAUAUCCUGGCUCUUUUCAGGAGCCUGGAUGACCAUCAUCAAGCCUCCUGCUUUCACCAGCCCUCUAUUUCCCACAGUUUGAGAAGGAAAAGCAAGGUGCCCUGUUUUGGGCCCUGGAUGGCUCUGAGGAGGAGAGGCAUCGCCAGCAGGACUGUCUUCCUCCAGUGCAAGCCAAAGCAGGACAAACAACGAAGAGUAUUAGGGCUGGGUUCAGUGAUGUAAGUACUGGCUUCCCUUCUGCCACAGAGGGACAAAUUUGCUGUGGCCCUGGGCAUGAAUCCUCACAUUGCCAAUGUGGAGAUGCGCCACUAGCUCACAUCCCAUCUCCUUACAAGGCUGUAAGGAAGUUUAGAAGAAUUUUCUCUGAAUUUACGAUCGCCUCUCAAAAAAUAUGUCCACCCUAAGAUGCGCUCAUCGGGCUUAUGACAACAGGGCCUCAGCAGGGCAUACAACUGCACUGCUAUGCCCUCACAGCCCUUUGGGUCACCACAUGCACAUCUCUGGGCCUGGCAGCUUCUAAGAGUUGCAACAUACUCAUGUGGGCUCCAGCAAGGCCUCUACACACUUUAACAUCAGUGCAAGGUAUCAUCAGGCAACACUGGUCCUAGCUUUCACUUCUGCGUCUGCAUGCUUUUUGUACCAAAGAGGACAGAAAAAGCAAAACUCCUUCAGUUUUGGCAUCCAACCCAACGUUACUUGGACACUGUGCCAUUGGGAAUCCCCAGUACCUGCAGAUAUGCUGCAGAGAUAGACUAUCCAGGUGGAGAGAAAGGAUAGAUCUACUCCACGGGAAUAAAGAGAAACUGCAGUAAAUCUUCUCUACUCCU
rnacentral:lncRNA from 1 species